ensembl:snRNA Gm22951 predicted gene, 22951
GUGCUCCCUUCAGCAGCACAUAUACUAAAAUUGGAACGAUACAGAGAAGAUUAGCAUGGCUUCUGUGCAAGGAUGACACGCAAAUUCGUGAAGCGUUCCAUAAUUUU